CAGUGGAAUCUUUCUGGAUUCUAUGAAGGUGAUCUUUGUGAGGACUCCUAUUAAUAAGAGAUACAGAGUCUUAUCUACCCAUCUCUUGUAGCCAGGCAAGGCUUCCAGUGGUGGGACUGAGUUGAAUUCAGUUGAGUUGCUGGUCAACAGGUCCAGUAUAGCUCUACAAACAACCAGGCUGAUGCUACGGCAGAGGGUUGCUUUCCUCAAACUGAAAAUGGAGCCCUGUUGACAAGGAGAACAUCUCCACAGCUCACUGAAAGUGGGUAUUUCGUCACAGCAACAAGACAAGCAACUAAUGCAGCCAAGAAGGAAGAGGAGAGGAAUGAGCUAAAAUCACACACACCAUGCCCAUCCAGGCCCGAAAAAUUUAGGAUUCUAAUAACCAUCCAGAAUAUCUGCCAAGUACUUCGACAUAGCAGUCUCCCUUCCCUUCCAGAUUCUUACAUCACUGCCAAGAACAAAGUGCGUGGAUCACUGAGGAUUCCUAGGAGAAAGUCUGAUCGACCCGUCUCAGAUCACAUGUUCACCCUCGAGUUGGAGACGCUGAAACUGGUGGAACACAGUCACAUGACAUGAAAUCCGUCCCUCCCGGAGUCAUAAGCAGUGUAGAGCCUCUGAGGUGGAAUGUGAGAAGGAAGGAGGGAGGGAAUGUUUGUCAUCUCUGAAGAUGUGGGGCUGAAGGCUAAAAGAGACUUGCUGAGCUGUGGUUCAAGAUAAAUAAAUGAAUAAAUAAGUCAUGGCUUUAGAAAGAACAAAAGAGAAUCCCAUUUAUUAGUCACAGAACCGCAGACGGUAUUCCUGGCCGUUCAGAUUCCUUAUCUCAUAUGUAACCGUGGGUCUAUGAUUACCGUUUGUAUCUCAAUAAUGUCGUAAGGAAUGACCUAUCUUAACAUCAAGGAUUUGGCAGGUUUCCUAUGAAAAAAACCAUCCAGCAAUUCUCUUUGAAUUCGUUAUCCCCAACCUUACUAUAAAUAUAUUUGGAAGGCAGUUACAUGAGCUGGCAAUGUUGAAGUCCCUAGGGAGCUGCUUGGUGCAGGAGAUGACAUUCUAAAAGGAGAAGAAAUCUGACAUCGCACUCCAGGAGUUUGCAUGUCCGGGUGUUUGGGGCUUGAAAGAGUGAAACUGUGAAUAAAUGCUUCCUUUCUAAUAGAAUAUCCACUAGAUGCUCACACGACUCCAAACUCCACAUUGGUACUAUUUCUGUGGCCAGUGACAAAGGCUCUUCACUGAAAUUGCUUUUCCUCUGUGCCAAAUGAUCAGGACUAACCCACAGAGUGUGAAAGAGAGACUUCUCUAAAGUUGCCUGACAAGCAAGGCAAGGUUCUCCUCCUUGAAACCCACUGUGGUGCUGAACACUCAACGUUUCCCUAUCAAGAAAAGAAACAUUCAAAGAGAUUUUUUUUUUAAUUCUCCUGGUGAGAGUUUUAGUUUCCCAACCCAUUCAAGUUCUUCUAAAAGAAUCCUUAAGCACCCACGCAAACCUAUGAUUUAUAGCAAGCAUGUGUUUUUCUGGAAGUAACCUAGACCACCUCCUGCUUUCCAAGGUCAGCCUCCUAAUCUUCCUGUAAUUCCUCUCUCUCACUUCCCUGUGGUGACUUUCCUGGCAGGGACUGGGCUGCCCUUCCUCCAGAGGCUCUACACAAUUCAGACGUUUUGGCCCCUCCUCCUCCUCCUCCUCCUCUCCCUCCUCCUCCUCUCCCUCCUCCUCCUCUCCCUCCUCCUCCUCUCCCUCCUCCUCCUCUUCCUCCUCCUCCUCCUGUUCUUCCUCCUCCUCCUGCUCCUGCUCCUCCUCCUCCUCUUCCUCCUCCUCUUCCUCCUCCUCCUCUUCCUCUUCCUCCUUUUCCUCCUCCUCCUCCUCCUCUUCCUCUUCCUCCUCCUCCUGCUCCUGCUCCUCCUCCUUCUCUCUCUCUAUGAAUGAAUGCUCUUUCUCUCCCCAAAUCCCAUAGUGACCUUCCUGGCCUAGAUCCUUGAGACCAAUAAACUUGCCCAAGAGCAGCUUCCCCAUAAACCUGGUUUAAUAGUUUAAUAUAAUCUAAUCUGGCUGGAAUUGGCUCAUUUCAUGGUUGGAAAAAUAACGUAUUGCCUUCACUUAGCCCUAUCCCUUGACUCCAAUCAUUCCCUUGCCUCCUCUUUUCAUAUGUAAAUAUAACUAUGUAUUAUUCCUGGGCUUUUACAAAGAGUUCUGUUGAAUUCUAUAAAGUCCUCUGUAAAAGAAGAGAAGGCAUUCAGUUAUAGGUAAGCCAAAUUUUCCAACUAUAGGUGCAUUAAUGUACUUACAGGGGCUGGAAUGACCUGACCUUUGUUGUGCCCACCGUACAGAACUACUAACAACCCAGGCUCUUAGCAGGACAUCCACUCCUGCCAUAUUGAAUUUAUAUACCAGUGGGGAAAUACUCAAGUAAUGUUUGGCGAUGGUGGUGGUUUUGCUUGUUUUUAAGAUUGGAAUAUACUAUGUAUACUAUGAAUAGUUCACACACUAAAUAUGUUUUAAAAAAUAAGAUGAUUCUUGUCCAUGCUUUCUGUUUGAUUUUGGCUCUAGGGCUUCUAUGUAGGAAAUGCAUCUUAGAAUAAGCGUUGGAGAAACCAGAAUUGUUAAUCAUGGGGGGCCCACUUUCUUCGAUGGAAGAAAACAAAUGAUGCCUGAUCGCCUGGAAUGCUGGAGUGAUGUGGUCAAACAACCUGGUGAUCCUUCGCUUGUUUAUUAGAAAUCAGCCUCCACCUGAAUCCCUCAAUAUCCUGGUCAUCAUUUAGGCCCUAAUCCUGUAGUGAGUAGAACACAUUGCUAUGAGAGAGGCCCCAUGUACUGUGCCUUCGCCACCAACAGAAUCUAACCUUAUGCUUAUCACAGAUCCUCUCUCUAGGUCCUAGCCCUGAGCUUUGUUUAUCAGCGAAUAGAAUUCAUUAAUUAGAACAAUCAUAGGUCACAAGUUCUACUGUGAUGGUUUGUAUAUGCUCAGCCCAGGGAGUGGCACUAUUAGAAGGUGUGGCCUGUUGGAGUAGGUGUGUCACUGUGGGUGUGGGCUGUAAGUCCCUCAGGCUAACUGCCUAGAAGUCAGUAUUCUGCUUACAGCCUUCAGAUGAAGACAGAAAACUCUCAGCAGCUCCUGUACCAUGCCUGCCUGGAUGCUGCCAUGGUCCUGCCUUGAUGAUAAUGGACCGAACCUCUGAGCCUGUGACUCUACUUCGUGUCAAGUUGACAAAAGCAUGUUAUCAGAAUUCCCUCAAUGCAGUAAGAUGGAGAUCUACAAAUGCACCAACACCUCUCCUAAACUAAGAAGACUCAUUUAUGGGCUGACCCCUCAUUAGGACAAUUAAUUGCAGCUUCUGGGGACUAUGACAUUAUCAUUUAUUUGCAGUAGAGACUAUGGGCAUGUCCUGAGCUCCAAAUAUUCUAGUCCAGAUUGGGCUGCUUUCCCUGCUCAAGGAGGAUCUGCAACUGAUUCCAAACAGAUGCUAAUGGAGUCCAGAGCUGCUCCCUGCUGCAUGGCUCUCAUCCUUCCAAAUACCCAGGGUCCCAGUGUUUCUCAUUUGAGCUUCUGAUGAGUUAAGGAUGGGGGUGGGGGGUUAAGCUUCUCAGAAAUACAAAAUCAAACAGCAUUUCAGCCUUGUACUUGGCAAUGUCCCUCCUCUGAGACAAGUGAAGCUUAGGGGUUAUCCAUCUGACUAGAAAGGGACGAGGGAGGGUAGAAAUACUAGGAGGGAAAAGUUACUAAUAAAUGUUACCAUACUA